rnacentral:rRNA from 1 species
GCUUACGGCCACACCGGCCUGAGUACGCCUGAUCUCGUCCGAUCUCGGAAGCUAAGCAGGGUCGGGCCUGGUUAGUACUUGGAUGGGAGACCGCCUGGAAAUACCAGGUGCUGUAAGCU